rnacentral:misc_RNA from 1 species
CUUUCUGCCAUCAACCUUAGGGGUACGCUGUGCUGCUCCAUUGGUCUGAUCAAUCGGACGCGUCGCUCGAUCUCGCCAUCGUCAAGCAUGAAACUCGGGGCCGGAAUUUGAACGGCCGCACGUCCCGAACGCUCGUUGAUCAGCAGAAUGGCGCGCGCGUCGCAGAGCCGAUCGAGGGCCUCAUCCAGCCGCACCGGAUGAUUGCGUU